rnacentral:lncRNA from 1 species
AGAUGGGGAUCAGCUUUGUGUUGCUGUGUGUGACUCUUAUAGUCACUGUGACACCAGUGUCUGCUGCAGCAGAGCCAGGUAUCAUAGAGAGCCUCCUUCUGGCCACCCAACAGCGCCCUUGGCUCUGGGGUGUCUAUGUGUUCACCGUUGGACUUCCUGUAAUUCUCUUCAUAAGCUUCAUGUGGCCUGACAAGGUACAGAAAGUUUGCUCAUGUGUGUUUGUAUAAUUUUCCACAGAACUACAUGAGGCGUCAGCUGGUCUCAACCUCUAGUGUGAACCAAAUGGUAUGAGUGUGUAUAUUUGUAUGAAUGUGUUGCAGAGGUUUGGGCCCCCUGAUCAACAGUAUUACUAUAAGAAGUCUGAUGAUGCUCAACCAGAUGAUACUGAGUUCUCACCGCUGACACAAGUGGAAGAUAUCAAAGAAAAUGCAGAUAAACCUGUAACAAGGAGGAGAGACGCUCAUAAUAACCAGAGGAAGUCCGACUUAGACCUUAAGGUGAGACUAAACAAUUAGUGUAAAAAUAAAUGCAAAUCUUGAUGUACGUGUUAGUGAAAUGGUGAGUGAAAAUAGAUUCUGUAUGUUUAUGUGUUCAGGUUCUCUGAUCACUGCUGCAAACUCAGGAAUGGAAGCUCUGCAAGAUCACUGCGGAUUGUACAAAACCAGAUCUUUGGCCUAUGACCAAUGGUAGCUGCUAAAACCGGAGGAACAUACGUCCGUCAUUUAGGGCUUCUAAAAGAUAACUUUGAAAUAAAAUAAUCAUGUUUUUCUCAUUAAUGUGUUCGGUUGAAUUUGUGCAUUUGUGUUUAUGUUAA